GUGCCAGCAGCCGCGGUAAUACGAAGGGGGCUAGCGUUGUUCGGAAUCACUGGGCGUAAAGCGCACGUAGGCGGAUGUGCCAGUCAGGGGUGAAAUCCCGGAGCUCAACUUCGGAACUGCCUCUGAUACAGCACGUCUUGAGUCCGGAAGAGGUGGGUGGAAUUCCUAGUGUAGAGGUGAAAUUCGUAGAUAUUAGGAAGAACACCGGUGGCGAAGGCGGCCCACUGGUCCGGUACUGACGCUGAGGUGCGAAAGCGUGGGGAGCAAACAGGAUUAGAAACCCCCGUAGUCC
rnacentral:rRNA from 1 species